rnacentral:lncRNA from 1 species
UGGACCUUUGAAGUAAGUGGGAGUUCUGCCACCAAUUUAAAUAGGAGAAGGAUUUGAGCCAAUUUGAACAGAAGUUUUCACUUAUCUUAGUGCCUAAUCUUCUUUUUAAAGGGAUGUGGGAGUAUCAGCACCUCCUACGUAACGCUCGGCAGCAUGCAGAAGUAGACUAGUCUGGUCACUUAUGGAGGCCCAUUUAAAACCAGUAGGAUUACUCAGGACAAGUAGAAGCUGAAGUGUGUCCAUCCCAGAACAACUGUGAAUUAAGUCUCUACAAUCAAUGACAAUUCUGGCAUUGGAAACUGGGGCAGAAGCUACUUUUUCCAAGUGAUCGAGUUACCACAGUGUAAAGAUUUUCCAAGGCAGUUGCAACAGCCUGAGAGCAUCCCCACAGGAAGUUACGGCUCAGUUGGCACAUGGUAAACCAUGAAGCUGUGGGAUCUGUCAAUAGAAACCCCACUUAUGAGGCAGAAGCAGCUACAAAUUGUACGGUGUGUUAUGGUAAACAAAUGACCUUGAGAGCCAUGGAAAAGUCAGAGCCAUACCUACAGGCCUGCAUGCCACAGUGGGGGCAUCCACGGGGGUAAGAGAUUUCUCUCCAUCCCAUUGCACUUGUGCCUGGUGUCCUUGGAUGAAGAAUGCCUGAAAUCUCAAAUUACCUGGAGAUGUUUUCUAGUAAUACUGAGCUAGAAUAAAAAUAAAUAAAAAG